rnacentral:rRNA from 1 species
ACGGCAGCGGGAAGGAGCUUGCUCCUUUGCCGGCGAGUGGCGCACGGGUGCGUAACGCGUAUACAACCUACCUUAUACAGGGGUAUAGCCCAGGGAAACUUGGAUUAACACCCCAUAGUAAUAUGUUUUGGCAUCAUUACAUAUUUAAAACUACGGUGGUAUAAGAUGGGUAUGCGUCCCAUUAGCUUGUUGGUGUGGUAACGGCACACCAAGGCAACGAUGGGUAGGGGCCCUGAGAGGGGGAUCCCCCACACUGGUACUGAGACACGGACCAGACUCCUACGGGAGGCAGCAGUGAGGAAUAUUGGACAAUGGGCGGGAGCCUGAUCCAGCCAUGCCGCGUGCAGGAAGACUGCCCUAUGGGUUGUAAACUGCUUUUAUACGGGAAGAAACCCACCUACGUGUAGGUGGCUGACGGUACCGUAAGAAUAAGGACCGG